rfam:Ovis aries breed Texel chromosome 7, whole genome shotgun sequence.
UCCCUGGUGGUUCAGAGGGCAAAGCAUCUGCCUGUGAUGCAGGAGACCCAGGUUCGAUCCCUGGGUGGGGAA